GCAACACAAUUUCCUCUUCGUUCUCUCUGUCUGCCAGUACGCGUGCGCAACACAAUUUCUCCACACACAAUUUCGCCCGCCCCUCCCUUCCCCAGAUACUGUUCCUCUUUGCUCUUCCUCCACACACAAUUUCUCUCCUCUCCUCUUCCCCAAAACGCCACCGCCGCCAGCAACUCAGCUCGCCCUGCUUCGCCCGCGUCUCCGCGGUCUCCACUCUGCUCUGCUUGUGAUGGCCGCCGUGCCCACUCCUGUGACGUGCCGAUCUGGCGGCGGCACGGCCGGGCGCGAUGUGGAGAGCCGGCGGGCGAUGGUGGUCGCGCAAGCCCGUGGAGGACGGGAUCACACCCAUUCUGCGCUGCUCUUCCCACCCCACCACCGCAGGCAGGCGCUCUUGCCCCUGCUCCUGUCGUCUCGUCUUCCUCGGCCAUCGCCGAGACCAAUCAAGAUGGCGUUCGUCGUGGCGAAGGGGGUCAAGAUGGAAGCCGCCACUGCCGCAACGACAACCACCACCUCCGAUUCUUGUUCUCGUGUGUCCGUCCAGGAGGACGAGGUGAUAUAUCUUCCUCAAACCUUCCGCAUUAAAAUCUAUAUUAGGUUGGACUCUGUUUUAUUCGGUUGGGCGUGAUGUUUAAAUUUCGUCAAGAGAGGUUUUCCAACAAUUUUGAUCUUUCUCGAAAGAAAACAAAGGAGGAGGGGAAAGGUCGUCUACAGGGGUAGGAGGCAGGGAUAAGGUAGGAAGAUAGCUCGGCCAGACCGCCAACACCCCGGCCGCGGCUUCUGUCGGACGCCAUCCCCUUCAUCUUUCCCCUACCCUUGAAUCGAACAGGCAAGGUAGGUGUGUCCUAAAAUAUGAUGUUUUCUCUAUUGGGACUUAUCCCUUUCGUUGUUCCCACUUUUCAGGAAGUAGUAUGGAUGCAGUUUGCUUAGCUUUGCAUCUGUACUCUUAUGCUUUUCAAGUCAUUCUAUUGGGUUGCAGCUUGUAGGGUGGAACCAUAAUUUGGCAUGGUUGCUUCUAAGUUUUGAUUGGUCGAUUUGCUGAUGUCUUCGCUCUAUGUGUCCAGUCUGCAUAGUCAUUAUCAAAAUCGGUGUUGCCAUAUCAUUACUACUUUGGCUAAUUCAACGAUCCACUUUCAAGUUCUUUGGUGUCCAGCUGAACAUGUGGUUAUCUUACAUCUUGGUAUGUCCAUAGGAUACGGUCAUCCUGAUACUCGAUGCAUUGUACUGUGACCGCGACUAUGCCAAGUUCUUCGUGCUCGAGACCAUCGCGAGGGUGCAGUAUUUCGGAAAUGUCAUCUGACGACGAAAAAGAUUUCAUUAUGUGCGAACAUUGUGAAGACCAGCGCG